GACGAACGCUGGCGGCGUGCCUAAUACAUGCAAGUCGAACGCUGAAGGAGGAGCUUGCUUCUCUGGAUGAGUUGCGAACGGGUGAGUAACGCGUAGGUAACCUGCCCCGUAGCGGGGGAUAACUCUUGGAAACGAUAGAUAUUACCGCAUAAGAGUUGAUGUUGCAUGUGAUUUGCUUAAAAGGUGCAAUUGUAUCACUACCAGAUGGACCUGCGUUGUUUUAGCUAGUGGGUGGUGUAACGGCUCACAAAGGCGACGAUCCAUAGCCGACCGGAGAGGGGGCCCGCCAAACCUGGAACUGAGACACGCCCCAGACCCCUACGGGGGGAAGCAGAAGGAAACUUUGGGCAAGGGCGGAAGGCUGAACGGGGCAAGCCGGGGUGGGGGAGAAGGGUCUCGGGUCCGUAAGCCCUGGUGUUAGGGAAGAAAGAGAUUGGUAGUUGAAAGUGCACACCGUGACGGUACCUAAUCAGAAAGCGACGGCUAACUACGUG
rnacentral:rRNA from 1 species